rnacentral:rRNA from 1 species
CUUUCCCUCUUUCCUUCGGCCUAACACAUGCAAGUCGAACGGCAGCACAGUAAGAGCUUGCUCUUACGGGUGGCGAGUGGCGGACGGGUGAGGAAUACAUAGGCAUCUACUUUUUCGUGGGGGAUAACGUAGGGAAACUUACGCUACUACCGCAUACGACCUACGGGUGAAAGCAGGGGAUCUUCGGACCUUGCGCGAUUGAAUGAGCCGAUGUCGGAUUAGCUAGUUGGCGGGGUAAAGGCCCACCAAGGCCACGAUCCGUAGCUGGUCUGAGAGGAUGAUCAGCCACACUGGAACUGAGACACGGUCCAGACUCCUACGGGAGGCAGCAGUGGGGAAUCUUGGACAAUGGGCGAAAGCCUGAUCCAGCCAUACCGCGUGAGUGAAGAAGGCCUUCGGGUUGUAAAGCCCUUUUGUUGGGAAAGAAAAGAAGCAGGUUAAUACCCCGCUGUUCUGACGGUACCCAAAGAAUAAGCACCGGCUAACUUCGUG